UACGUGGGGGUGCGAGCGUUUGUCCGGAAUUAUUGGGCGUAAAGGGCUCGUAGGCGGUUUGUCGCGUCGGGAGUGAAAUCCACUGGCUUAACUGGUGGCUUGCUUUCGAUACGGGCAGACUGGAGGUAUGCAGGGGAGAACGGAAUUCCUGGUGUAGCGGUGAAAUGCGCAGAUAUCAGGAGGAACACCGUGGCGAAGGCGGUCGCCUGGGACGAUUG
rnacentral:rRNA from 1 species